GCCACCGUAGCUCAGUGGGUAGAGCGGCUGAUUCGUAAUCAGCAGGUCGGGGGUUCGAGACCCUCCGGUGGCU
rnacentral:tRNA from 3 species